rnacentral:rRNA from 1 species
UACGUAGGGCGCAAGCGUUGUCCGGAAUUAUUGGGCGUAAAGAGCUCGUAGGCGGUCUGUCGCGUCGGCUGUGAAAACUCGGGGCUCAACUCCGAGCUUGCAGUCGAUACGGGCAGGCUAGAGUUCGGCAGGGGAGACUGGAAUUCCUGGUGGUAGCGGUGAAAUGCGCAGAUAUCAGGAGGAACACCGGUGGCGAAGGCGGGUCUCUGGGCCGAUACUGACGCUGAGGAGCGAAAGCGUGGGGAGCGAACAGG